rnacentral:rRNA from 1 species
UACGGAGGGGGCAAGCGUUGUCCGGAUUUAUUGGGCGUAAAGAGCGUGUAGGCGGCUUUACAGGUCCGUUGUGAAAUCUCGAGGCUCAACCUCGAGACGCCGGUGGAAACCGUAAAGCUAGAGUCCGGAAGAGGAGAGUGGAAUUCCUGGUGUAGCGGUGAAAUGCGCAGAUAUCAGGAAGAACACCCGUGGCGAAGGCGGCUCUCUGGGACGGUACUGACGCUGAGACGCGAAAGCGUGGGGAGCGAACAGG